rnacentral:rRNA from 1 species
UUGGCGAACGGGUGAGUAACGCGUGAGUAACCUGCCCUGGAGUGGGGGGACGAACAGUUGGAAACGACUGCUAAUACCGCAUAAGCCCACGGCCCGGCAUCGGGCUGCGGGAAAAGGAUUUAUUCGCUUCAGGAUGGACUCGCGUCCAAUUAGCUAGUUGGUGAGGUAACGGCCCACCAAGGCGACGAUUGGUAGCCGGACUGAGAGGUUGAACGGCCACAUUGGGACUGAGACACGGCCCAG